rnacentral:rRNA from 1 species
UACAGAGACUGCAAGCGUUAUUCGGAUUCACUGGGCGUAAAGGGUGCGCAGGUGGCUUGGCAAGUUUGAUGUGAAAGCUCAGGGCUUAACCCUGAAAUGGCAUUGAAUACUGUUGAGCUGGAGGUUUGGAGGGGGGACUGGAAUUCUUGGUGUAGCAGUGAAAUGCGUAGAUAUCAAGAGGAACACCAGUGGCGAAGGCGAGUCCCUGGACAACACCUGACACUGAGGCACGAAAGCUAGGGGAGCAAACAGG